UACGAAGGGGGCUAGCGUUGCUCGGAAUCACUGGGCGUAAAGGGCGCGCAGGCGGUCUUGAAAGUCAGGCGUGAAAGCCCCGGGCUUAACCUGGGAAUUGCGCUUGAUACUCUGAGACUGGAGUACGGGAGAGGAGAGUGGAAUUCCCAGUGUAGAGGUGAAAUUCGUAGAUAUUGGGAAGAACACCAGUGGCGAAGGCGGCUCUCUGGACCGUAACUGACGCUGAGGCGCGAAAGCGUGGGGAGCAAACAGG
rnacentral:rRNA from 1 species